rnacentral:rRNA from 1 species
GCGACCCCAGAUCAGUCGGGAUUACCC